CCUACGGGAGGCUGCAGUGGGGAAUAUUGCACAAUGGGGGAAACCCUGAUGCAGCGACGCCGCGUGAGUGAAGAAGUCUCUCGGUAUGUAAAGCUCUAUCAGCAGGGAAGAAAAUGACGGUACCUGAUUCAGAAGCCCCGGCUAACUACGUGCCAGCAGCCGCGGUAAUACGUAGGGGGCCAGCGUUAUCCGGAUUUACUGGGUGUAAGGGGAGCGUAGGCGGCAGGACAAGUCUGGAGUGAAAUGCCGGGGCUUAACCCCGGAACUGCUUUGGAAACUGUGCAGCUAGAGUGCAGGAGAGGUAGGUGGAAUUCCUAGUGUAGCGGUGAAAUGCGUAGAUAUUAGGAGGAACACCAGUGGCGAAGGCAGCUUACUGAACUGUAACUGACGUUGAGGCUCGAAAGCGUGGGGAGCAAACAGGAUUAGAUACCCUUGUAGUC
rnacentral:rRNA from 1 species